rnacentral:rRNA from 1 species
GCCUAAAGCGUCCGUAGCCGGCUCUGUAAGUUUUCGGUUAAAUCCAUAUGCUCAACAUAUGGGCCGCCGGGAAUACUACAAAGCUAGGGAGUGGGAGAGGUAGACGGUACUCCGUAGGAAGGGGUAAAAUCCUUUGAUCUAUGGAUGACCACCAGUGGCGAAGGCGGUCUACCAGAACACGUUCGACGGUGAGGGAUGAAAGCUGGGGGAGCAAACCGGAUUAGAUACCCGGGUAGUCCCAGCUGUAAACUAUGCAAACUCAGUGAUGCAUUGGCUUGUGGCCAGUGCAGUGCCGCAGGGAAGCCGCUAAGUUUGCCGCCUGGGAAGUACGUACGCAAGUAUGAAACUUAAAGGAAUUGGCGGGGGAGCACCACAAGGGGUGAAGCCUGCGGUUUAAUUGGAGUCAACGCCAGAAAUCUUACCCGGAGAGACAGCAGGAUGAAGGUCAAGCUGAAGACUUUACCAGACAAGCUGAGAAGUGGUGCAUGGCCGUCGCCAGCUCGUGCCGUGAGGUGUCCUGUUAAGUCAGGUAACGAGCGAGAUCCUUGCCUCUAGUUGCCACCAUUACUCUCAGGAGUAGUGGGGCGAAUUAGCGGGACUGCCGUAGUUAAUACGGAGGAAGGAGAGGGCCACGGCAGGUCAGUAUGCCCCGAA